rnacentral:lncRNA from 1 species
UUUCAGCACAAAAUUUUCGUCUAAACAAUUUGUAUCAUCUGAGCAGAGUGCAUCUGAGGAAGAUAACCAGUUUGAUGAAGAAUUAAGCAAAAUAUAUGAAGACUUAUCCAUUCAGAACAUUACUGCUAAAUCAGAAAACGACCAGGAAGGUGCCAGCUGUUACUGCAGUGCAUCUCACACAGACAAUCUUUCGACCGAUGAACACGAAAGUUUGCGUGAAAUACAUAAUCCUCCGCCACCGAAAGGUAUUCAGCAAAGUGACAGCGGUACCGAUCUGACUGAACAACUAAUUCAUGACGUCGAUUCGGAUUGGCAAAAAUUUUGGUCAUUGAACGGGGAAAAGCUCAUAUGGGAAUCCUGGAUU